rnacentral:lncRNA from 1 species
UACCGGCCGUGCGUACUUAGACAUGCAUGGCUUAAUCUUUGAGACAAGCAUAUGCUACUGGCAGUUAUCCAAGUAGGAGAGGAGCGAGCGACCAAAGGAACCAUAACUGAUUUAAUGAGCCAUUCGCAGUUUCACUGUACCGGCCGUGCGUACUUAGACAUGCAUGGCUUAAUCUUUGAGACAAGCAUAUGCUACUGGCAGGAUCAACCAGGUAGGCGAGGUAGGCCGCGAGGGCGGCGGACCCGGCGUCGGGGGGCACGAGAGGGAGGGAGGGACGGACCGCGGACGGAGGAGGGUGCGGGCGGCGCGAACGCCAUCAUCCCCGCCCGUAGCCGGCAGGCGCGGGACCAGGCGGGGUGGGGCGGGGUGGGGCGGGGCGGGGCGGGGCGGGGCGGGGCGGGGCAGAGGAAGGGCGGAGGGAGAGAGGCGGGCGCGGGAGCGCGGGGAACGAGUCCCACGCGCACACCGCACGCGCCCCAUCACCUCCACCUCCACCACCACCACCACCACCACCAACCCCACACCCCACCCCCGCCUCUCUCCACAACCGCGUGCGAGUGGAGGGCAGAACGCCCGACCCGUUUUGUGCCGGGCAGCCAGGAGGGGGUCGGCGGCCACGCGCGCGGAAGACGCAGUGGGGGGCGGCGAGGGGGCGCGGCGAUACCCCACCCCGCGGGGCGGGGCCCCGGCGGUCGGGCGGCGAGCGGGAGGCGGCCCGGGGUGCCCGACCCGGGGGACAGUCACGCCGUGCGGCCGCAGCGCCCUGCGCGCCCGCCCGUUCGAGGUCCGGGUGCCGCCGGGCCAACCCCGGCCACGCCGGCGGGCGCAGGCGCAGGAGGGGAGGGGGCCGGUGACCGGCACCGCCCCGACCCACAACGACGCCAGAAGGCGACGGAAGCCGUCCGGCCGACCCACCGACCCGGACGAGGGACCGGACCGGGACCGGAGGUCCCGGCCCCGGCCCCCCCCUCUCGAACCGGGGGGCGGUCGGCCGCAGGCCGAGGUCGACCUUACUUACACACGACGGCUGGCCGGGAGAGACCACCGGGGCGCGCUCGGGCGCACGCACGCGCCGAACGGGACCCCGCAACGCGGGGGAAGGACACGCCGCCGCCCCCGGACGUCGACACCCAAGACGCCUCGGGGAGGGGCCCCGGCGGGCCCGGGAAGCGAGGCGCGCACCCGGGGCGCGCGGACGCGGAGCGGGAGAGCGGGUCGGGAGGAGACGAGACCCCGGGCAAGCCCGAGGCGACCGUGGAAGGCGCGGGGAAGGCGACGAGCGGGGAGGGGGUGGGCGGCGGGCCACCGCGAGGAUCCAGGGAGAAGCCUCGGGCACAGACGACCGCAGCAUCCGGGACACACAACGGGGUCUCACCGCCAGCGGCCCGUUUGGGCACACAGGGGCGGUCCCGCGCGGCCACGGAGCGGCCGCCUGCCUUCGGCGACCCACGCACGGCCUCUCGGGGGCCCGCGGCUCCCCCAACAACCGCCACCGCAGUCGCGGCCAGCGCCCCAUACCGUCUUCCCUACACACGCGGCGGGCCGAACCCAACCUCUCCGACGCCCACCGGGCCCACGCGGUGGCCGACCGCCGCCGGUGCGCGAAGCCGAGGGCACACACCGGGGGGACGCGGACACCGGCCGAUGGUGGCCGGGGCGACGCCCCUCAAGGCGGAGCCGGCUCGGGUCCCAGACGGGGCCGCCCCGGCGCAGCCGGAGAGCCGCUCAGAGAGAAAGGAUCGGCAGGCAGCGGCGGGAGCGGGCGCACACGCAGGGCCGGGCCCACGAGGGCAGGGGCACGGGAGCCCGCCGAGGACCCGGGCGGGAACCUCGGGCACAGCCGGGCCACCGGGGACACGACCACGGGAUCCCACCGCCCAGACACGAGGGCGGUCCCGCAGCCCUCACACCCGGACACCGGGCCGGCC